CAUCCGGUCGAUCCUGCCUCAUCCGGUCGAUCCUGCCGGAGCGCGACGCUCUCCCCAAGGACGAAGCCAUGCAUGCCCGCUCACCCGGGACGCGGCGGACGGCUCAGGACGACGGUUGCACCCCCCGCGGCGGUCCCUGCUAGCCGGACACCGCUGGCAACCCGGCGCCAAGACGUGCGCGCAAGGGCGGGCGCCCGCGGGCGAGCAGCGUGACGCAGCGACGGCCCGCCCGGGCUUCCGGGGCAUCACCCGGUCGGCGCGUCGCGCGCGCCAGCCCCAA
rnacentral:rRNA from 1 species